CAGGAGUGACAUGGACAGAGCGGAGCAGAAGAAGAAGACCUGCACUUCGGAGUUACCUCGUGAUGUUUACGUUUGCUGUUCCUUGAAUAAAGUGAAGUAAAAGACAUACGAAGUUGUCUUAUUUCAGGACACAACAAGUUGUGACAAUGCAUCACUCCAUUUUUCCAUCGAGUGAGGACUAUAAAGUGGAGCGCUGCACAGUUUGUUGCAAGCUUUUUCAUUGCCCCCUUUGCCCAAAAUAUAAACCCAGCCAAAGAGGAAGGCUCCAUAAACAUCUGGAUGUACAUUGCAAAAAUGCCAUCACAUUCAAAGAUCAAAAGAUCUGCAAAUGCAGUUUAAAUUGCAGAAGCACCUCACAUUUCCAUUGUCCCAUUUGUGACAAAACCAUCAUAAGAAGAGCGGACAUGGAGAAACAUCUGGAGACUUGUCAAAUUUUGAACACAUCUGCUGCACCCAACCCCCUCCUUCUUCCACCAUCCACUCUUCCACAAGAUGUUCCCUGUGCCCCACCUACCACCUCCUCCGCUGCCCAGUCUACCAACUCCUCCACUGCCCAGUCUACCAACUCCUCCACUGCCCAGCCUACCACCUCCUCCACUGCCCAGUCUACCACCUCCUCCGCUGCCCAGUCUACCAACUCCUCCGCUGCCCAGCCUACCAACUCCUCCGCUGCCCAGUCUACCAACUCCUUCUCUAUCCAGCACACUACAAGUUAUAAGAAGGCAAAAUGUUCUCAUUGCGGCCUAAUUUCUAUCUUUUUCAUAGGAUGAAGUGGCGGCCAGGAUACUCCACGACUGCAAAAAUGCCGCAGAGUGGGUUGAAACCAACCAACAUUUGUUUUCAGGGGUGGUGGAGUUUCCAAGUGUCCUCACCAUGGGAGAGGAACAAGUGGAAGAGGUUCUGGGGCAGUACCGAAGGCUUUGGGAUGAUGCAGAAUUUGGCCAGCUUGAUGAACAGGAGAAAGAAGACAUGCUGGACAAUUUCAAAUUUAAAUUUGAAAGUGUUGAAGAAGACAUGUGGGUAUUUUGUGGGGAGAUUAUUGAUAACAGAGGAUACUCAACCUACACCGAAGCUCAAGUGAAGGAGUAGGGUAAUAGGAUGGAUUGUGUAAUAAAAAGCUGAA